AGUGAACGCUGGCGGCGUGCUUAACACAUGCAAGUUGAACGGUCCGGCAUGGAAGCUUGCUGAAGUGUCGGGUAGUAGCGGACGGGUGAGUAAUGCAUGAGAAGCUGCCAUUGGGAGGGGGACAACAGUUGGAAACGGCUGCUAAUACCCCAUAUGCCGGAAGGUGAAACGGAGUGAUCCGCCCGAUGAGGUGCUCAUGUCCUAUCAGCUAGUUGGUGAGGUAACGGCUCACCAAGGCGACGACGGGUAGCCGGCCUGAGAGGGUGACCGGCCACACUGGAACUGAGAUACGGUCCAGACUCCUACGGGAGGCAGCAGUGGGGAAUAUUGGGCAAUGGGGGCAACCCUGACCCAGCGACGCCGCGUGAGGGAAGACGGCCUUCGGGUUGUAAACCUCUUUUGUACGGGAAGAAGGAUGUGACGGUACCGUGCGAAUAAGUCCCGGCUAACUACGUGCCAGCCGCCGCGGUAA
rnacentral:rRNA from 1 species